rnacentral:lncRNA from 1 species
CAAAGACCAUUUUUUUUCCUCACCAUUUCCUGUCAUCAAAAGGAACCAGGCAGCAUCAAUUGGAGGAGGGACAUAGAAGUUCACUCAUUGAAACUGCACCUUGGCCUCUCUUCCAAAAACCUGCUACCACCAUCCAACUGCAGUAAAAGCAAAGAGCCUAACUCAUCCCAAACCUGCACUCACCCUUGCUGUUGCAUUUCAAAACCAAAAGCAUCCUUCCAAUAGUCCAACCCUGCUAGCCAACAAUGACAUCAAAC